CAAAAUAAUUCCCUCCUCCUUAUCCAACGACCUGUUCGACCUCCGAGCUCCCAAUUUUCCUCCUCACCACCAUGACAGUUCCGCCGUAUCAGGACUCGAACGCCGUUUGUCUUCUGAAGUCCUCUGUAAUCAAGGUCCUGUUGUCCAGAUUUUGAGCAUCUUCUUUUGGAAGUGAUUAAUAGCUACUGUGACAGGUUAGUUUUAUA